rnacentral:rRNA from 1 species
UACGAAGGGGGCUAGCGUUGUUCGGAAUCACUGGGCGUAAAGCGCACGUAGGCGGAUGUGCCAGUCAGGGGUGAAAUCCCGGAGCUCAACUUCGGAACUGCCUCUGAUACAGCACGUCUUGAGUCCGGAAGAGGUGGGUGGAAUUCCACGUGUAGCGGUGAAAUGCGUAGAGAUGUGGAGGAACACCGAUGGCGAAGGCAGCCUUCUGGGCCAACACUGACGCUCAUGCACGAAAGCGUGGGGAGCAAACAGG